rnacentral:rRNA from 1 species
UUGAACGCUGGCGGAAUGCUUUACACAUGCAAGUCGAGCGGCAGCGCGGGGGCAACCCUGGCGGCGAGCGGCGAACGGGUGAGUAACAUAUCGGAACGUACCCAGACGUGGGGGAUAACACAUCGAAAGAUGUGCUAAUACCGCAUACGACCUGAGGGUGAAAGGGGGGGAUCGCAAGACCUCUCGCGUUUGGAGCGGCCGAUAUCGGAUUAGCUAGUUGGUGAGGUAAAGGCUCACCAAGGCGACGAUCCGUAGCUGGUCUGAGAGGACGACCAGCCACACUGGAACUGAGACACGGUCCAGACUCCUACGGGAGGCAGCAGGGGGGAAUUUUGGACAAUGGGCGAAAGCCUGAUCCAGCAAUGCCGCGUGCAGGAAGAAGGCCUUCGGGUUGUAAACUGCUUUUGUACGGAGCGAAAAGGCUCUCUCUAAUACAGGGGGCUCAUGACGGUACCGUAAGAAUAAGCACCGGCUAACUACGU